rnacentral:rRNA from 1 species
GAUGAACGCUGGCGGCGUGCCUAAUACAUGCAAGUCGAGCGAACAGACGAGGAGCUUGCUCCUCUGACGUUAGCGGCGGACGGGAGAGUAACACGUGGAUAACCUACCUAUCAGACUGGGAUAAUUUCGGGAAACCGGAGCUUAUACCGGAUAAUCUAUUGCACCGCAUGGUUCCAUAGUGAGAGUCGGUUUUGCUGUCACUUAUAGAUGGAUCCGCGCCGCAUUAGCUAGUUGGUAAGGUAACGGCUUACCAAGGCAACGAUGCGUAGCCGACCUGAGAGGGUGAUCGGCCACACGGGAACUGAGACACGGACCAGACUCCUGAGGUAGGCAGCAGUAGGGAAUCUUACGCAAGGGGCGAAAGCCUGACAGAGCAACGCCGCGUGAGUGAUGAAGGUCCUCGGAUCGGAAAACUCUGUUAUUAGUGAAGAACAAAUGUGUAAGUAACCAUGCACGUCUUGACGGUACCUAAUCAGAAAGCCACGGCUAACUACGUG